GUAAAUUUUAUGGGAAUUUCAUUUAUUAUUUUGAAAUUUUUGCUAUAAAUACCCUGAAUUUUCACUGCAAAUGUAUUGUUAUAUUUUGGUUACUAAAAAAAAAACAAAGCUUCACCAUGAAUAUCUUUAUUGCUGUUGCCCUCAUGAAUGUAAUUUUGGGAGCCGUGGAUAAUGUAGCUGGUAUAGAUUCUAAAGUUUUGGAGAGUUUACUUGGUUAAAUAAAUUUGAAAUCGAUAAUGAAUUGAUACGGAUUAUAAAACUGAUCUCUUCAGUAAAAAUAUACAUUUAAAUAAAAAUUAUGUAAGCAAUAUAAAUAAAUUGUUUAAUGCUAUAAUAUAAAA